GAUGAAGAACGUAGUGAAAUGCGAUAAGUAGUGUGAAUUGCAGAAUUCAGUGAAUCAUCGAAUCUUUGAACGCACAUUGCGCCCCCUGGUAUUCCGGGGGGCAUGCCUGUCCGAGCGUCAUUGCUGCCCUCAAGCACGGCUUGUGUGUUGGGCUCCGUCCCCCCGGGGACGGGCCCGAAAGGCAGCGGCGGCACCGAGUCCGGUCCUCGAGCGUAUGGGGCUUUGUCACCCGCUCUGUAGGCCCGGCCGGCGCCAGCCGACAACCCAUCAUCCUUUUCAGGUUGACCUCGGAUCAGGUAGGGAUACCAGCUGAACUUAAGCAUAUCAAUAAGCGGAGGA
rnacentral:misc_RNA from 1 species